AUGGAAGUGUCACGACCAGCAGCAGGGAACAGGCUGAGGAGGACCAGGGGAUUGGCCUCAGCCUUUCCCGGCUCGGGGCCUUUUGGGCCACAACCUGCCGCCCCAAUCGAGGCCCCUCUGUCGUGUGUCUGGUCUGGAGGAAGGACGCUUCUCCCCAAAGCUGGCCCCAAACCAAGUCUUUCCAAGCCGACUUUCCCAUCUCGUAAAGAAGCCGACCAUAUUGCAGGAUGCUUUGGAUGUGGAAACAGAUCCUCAGAGAGCGCACGCACGUCUCAAAGCAUACCCCAAACAUUUCCCAACAAGAGCCGUUUCUGUGCAACCAGCUAUUUCCCCUCCGGAUCGGAACAUUUCCCACCAGGCGUAGAGCAGACUCGGAACAACGGAUCAGCCCUAUUUAGGGUGGGAAUCCACAUACACACACACACACACAGAACUGGUGGGGACCACAGAAACCAUCAUCGAGGCCUGCAGAGAAGAUCCAAGGCCCUGAGGUCGCACAGAGGACCAAGAGGACUGUUUAAUUGUAUCAUUAAUAUUUUCUUCAUCACCUUAUUAAGUCUAGAGAUGAACAAAGUAAUAACUCACUCCCCCAUUACAAGGUGUAUUUAACAAAGGAUUCUCUUGCGCUGAGUGUCUCCGGCACAUCCCUGCAGGAUGGUCUAAUGGAUAGAGCACUGGCCAUGGAGUCAGGAAGAAAGAGACAUUGUCCUUGUGAUUGCAUUCGUUCAGGGAAUUCCUAGAAUGGGUCGCCACCUUGACCAAUACACAUCUGAACCUUCUCUGCAAAUGACAUUUUCAGCGUUGUAUAGAGGUCUGAGAGCUUAAGUGAUUUGUGCAGGAUCAGAUAGCCAAUUUGUGAUGGAGAGGAGACUUGAACUCAGGUCUUCUUGGCUCUAUUAUCAGUGGUCCUACUGAUGCUCCUGGUCCUAUGGCUCAUUUGAAUGUCACAAAAAUGAAUUUCCUCAUAGUUGGUAUAUACAUGCUUGUUGUUGCUUCUGAUCCCAUCUUCAUCAAUAAUAUGGGGAAUCCCCAGCUGAGGAGAAGAAUGAGUUCAGUUUGGGAGAUGAGUUCGAGAAGCCUACUGGUGAGAUGUCCAAAAGACUGUCAGGGAUGGAGAUGGGGGCAGGAAAUCCUGAUUUGAGGAUUAGCUGUAGAGAGAGUCCAUCGUAAGGUGGUGUCAUGAGAACGUGAAUGGAAGGAGCACCCAAAGGCCCCAAAUGCUGAUGAAUGGCUGGUUAGAGCCAUCUUGACCCCGAGGCCAGGAGAACACUCUCCCUUUUUCUUCAUAGAAAGGCAGAGGGCCACCAAGGAGGAUGCUUUAUAUCCUGCAGAGGAGGGAAUUUUGUCAGGAGAUUUUCUUCACUCAUUGCCUUCUUAUCAGGAAAUGACUAACCAAAGGACCAAAUGCCCCCAUCAAGUUGGCGAUUUUAAGACGUACCCAUGUUGGGCCAGACUCGUGGAGACUCUCCAGGUCUUGGAAUCUAAAGCUCAGAAGGUGGCCACGAACAGAAGGGCUCCUCGAUGCCCGGCUUGCUGUGGUCGAGGUCCUUCGGCAGCUGGAGAUGAGUGCUGUGGGGGAUGAGCCUCCCAUUAGGUCCACAUAUGACAA
rnacentral:lncRNA from 1 species